GACGAAUUCGAUGGGCAACUUGGGCGGUGGAGUCUUGAAUGAGAACUCGGGUCCGGAGCCUCCACAGCGGUAGAAGUAAGUGGUGCUGGGCUCAAGUGGCCCUAUCACGGCGUUGUGGAUCCUGCCGGAGUUAUAGAAAAAAUACUGAUAUAAAUAUUUUUGCAACGAACGAACCUGCUGAGGUUCGGACUCAGAUAAUUGAUGAGGAGUGAUGAUGGUUGGACGAGCAGGGAGGCGAACGAAACCACUAAUAUCAUGAGAUAGAAGGGGUUGAGGGAACAAGAGAAAGCAUAAUAAGCUGCAGCAAGUAGUAAAGGAUAGCUUCUUGAACGUAGUGAUGGAGGAAGAACAGCCAUUCUUGUUAUAUAAUGGGAUUGCGGAAACAGAGGACGAGAAAGAAUACAUUUAAUUAAAAUAACAAUUUGUAUGGGUUGACUAUAUGGAAGGGAGGUUGUGCUUCAAUGGCUUAAGGCAAGAUCCGUGUAAAGAUUAACUGUAUUAUGUUAUUAGGUAGUACCACAUGACGAUGGAAUCAUGGAAUCAAUCUUAUUCCUUUGACACGGGAAGCA